rnacentral:rRNA from 1 species
AUCUAUGGACAUACCACCCUGAACUUGCUAGAUCUAGUCUGAUCUUAGAAAUUAAGCGGGAUGAGGCAUGGUUACUACAUAGAUG